UGGGGUGUGGCUUAGUGGUGGAGGGCUUGCUUACCAUGCGCAAGGCCCUGGGUUCCAUUCCCAGCACUGCAC
rnacentral:tRNA from 1 species